rnacentral:rRNA from 1 species
UACGAAGGGGGCUAGCGUUGCUCGGAAUCACUGGGCGUAAAGCGCACGUAGGCGGAUUGUUAAGUCAGGGGUGAAAUCCUGGAGCUCAACUCCAGAACUGCCUUUGAUACUGGCGAUCUCGAGUCCGGGAGAGGUGAGUGGAACUGCGAGUGUAGAGGUGAAAUUCGUAGAUAUUCGCAAGAACACCAGUGGCGAAGGCGGCUCACUGGCCCGGUACUGGACGCUGGAGGU